GAAGUGCUGCUGCUGCUGCUGCGGCUGCGGGGAAGACGCAGCCAGGUGCUGCUGGGUGUGGGCUCGGUGCUGGAGCUCCAAGGUCCCGGACCGCUGCUGCUGCUCCAGCUUCAGGAUGUCCUUGACCGAGAACGGCGUGGAGCGUCACCCUGAGCUCUGCGCGCCGGCUCUUCCUCCGUGGACGCGCGGCAGGUGCUUCGCUGCUGGACGGAGCUGGAGGCGGACCAGGUCCACGUCUAAUAUCUGAUCCUGCGGAUGCUGAAGGAGCAGGUUGUACAUCACGGUGGCGUCCAGCAGAGUCGGACACACACCGUGUGUUUACUGCCAUGAAUGAAAGCAGAAGAAGCAGCGGGAAGCGAGAGGUCGUCCACAGGUCACGGCUCUCAGCGCAGAGAUGGGAAACUAUUAUUGGAGCUAUUGUGGA